UACGUAGGGUGCGAUCGUUAAUCGGAAUUACUGGGCGUAAAGCGUGCGUAGGCGGUUCGUUAAGUGCGUCGUGAAAGCCCCGGGCUCAACCUGGGAAUGGCGAUGGAAACUGGCGGGCUGGAGUAUGGCAGAGGGGGGUGGAAUUCCGCGUGUAGCAGUGAAAUGCGUAGGGAUGCGGAGGAACACCGAUGGCGAAGGCAGCCCCCUGGGCCAAUACUGACGCUCAGGCACGAAAGCGUGGGGAGCAAACAGG
rnacentral:rRNA from 1 species